GAUGAACGCUGGCGGCGUGCCUAAUACAUGCAAGUCGAGCGAACAGACGAGGAGCUUGCUCCUCUGACGUUAGCGGCGGACGGGUGAGUAACACGUGGAUAACCUACCUAUAAGACUGGGAUAACUUCGGGAAACCGGAGCUAAUACCGGAUAAUAUAUUGAACCGCAUGGUUCAAUAGUGAAAGACGGUUUUGCUGUCACUUAUGGAUGGAUCCGCGCCGCAUUAGCUAGUUGGUAAGGUAACGGCUUACCAAGGCAACGAUGCGUAGCCGACCUGAGAGGGUGAUCGGCCACACUGGAACUGAGACACGGUCCAGACUCCUACGGGAGGCAGCAGUAGGGAAUCUUCCGCAAUGGGCGAAAGCCUGACGGAGCAACGCCGCGUGAGUGAUGAAGGUCUUUGGAUCGUAAAACUCUGUUAUUAGGGAAGAACAAAUGUGUAAGUAACUAUGCACGUCUUGACGGUACCUAAUCAGAAAGCCACGGCUAACUACGUG
rnacentral:rRNA from 1 species